GACGAACGCUGGCGGCGUGCCUAAUACAUGCAAGUAGAACGCUGAAGGAGGAGCUUGCUUCUCUGGAUGAGUUGCGAACGGGUGAGUAACGCGUAGGUAACCUGCCUGGUAGCGGGGGAUAACUAUUGGAAACGAUAGCUAAUACCGCAUAAUAGCAGUUAUUGCAUGAUAACUGUUUGAAAGGUGCAAUUGCACCACUACCAGAUGGACCUGCGUUGUAUUAGCUAGUUGGUGGGGUAACGGCUCACCAAGGCGACGAUACAUAGCCGACCUGAGAGGGUGAUCGGCCACACUGGGACUGAGACACGGCCCAGACUCCUACGGGAGGCAGCAGUAGGGAAUCUUCGGCAAUGGACGGAAGUCUGACCGAGCAACGCCGCGUGAGUGAAGAAGGUUUUCGGAUCGUAAAGCUCUGUUGUAAGAGAAGAACGAGUGUGGGAGUGGAAAGUUCACACUGUGACGGUAUCUUACCAGAAAGAGACGGCUAACUACGUG
rnacentral:rRNA from 1 species